rnacentral:rRNA from 1 species
GAUGAACGCUGGCGGCGUGCUUAACACAUGCAAGUCGAACGAAGCACUUUAUUUUAUUUCCUUCGGGACUGAUUAUUUUGUGACUGAGUGGCGGACGGGUGAGUAACGCGUGGGUAACCUGCCUUGUACAGGGGGAUAACAGUUGGAAACGGCUGCUAAUACCGCAUAAGCGCACGGCAUCGCAUGAUGCAGUGUGAAAAACUCCGGUGGGAUAGGAUGGACCCGCGUUGGAUUAGCUAGUUGGUGAGGUAACGGCACACCAAGGCGGCGAUCCAUAGCCGAGAUGGGAGGCUGCCCCGCCACGUCGGGACUGAGACACAGCCCAAACUCCUACGCGAGGGAGGAGUGGGGAAUAUUGCACAAUGGGCGAAAGCCUGAUGCAGCGACGCCGCGUGAGCGAAGAUGUAUUUCGGUAUGUAAAGCUCUAUCAGCAGGGAAGAUAAUGACGGUACCUGACUAAGAAGCACCGGCUAAAUACGUG